AACCUANCGGUACUCGCGAAUGCAUCNUAGAUUAUUUAUUGAUCAUGGCUCAGAUUGACCGCUGGCGGCAGGCCUAACACAUGCAAGUCGAGCGGAUGACGGGAGCUUGCUCCUUGAUUCAGCGGCGGACGGGUGAGUAAUGCCUAGGAAUCUGCCUGGUAGUGGGGGGACAACGUUUACUGAAAGGAACGCUAAUAACCGCAUAACGUACCUACGGGAGAAAGCAGUGGG
rnacentral:rRNA from 1 species